ensembl:lncRNA
CCCGGCUGAGUGCAGCCACACAUGACGCCAGCCCCCCAGCCCGCCACGCGCUACUUCCCGGCCGGCCCUCCGCCCCCCCCCACCCCCCCCGGCCCCGUUCCCUAGAAAUGCAGCCGAGGCGCGGGGAAGAGGGGACGCGGUUUUGGCGGGGGGGGAAGAGAUUCUUUUUGUUCUGUUGGGGGACAGCUUUGGUUUGUUGUUUUCCAGUUUCUUUUUUUCUUCCCCCCCCCUCCCCCUUGCACACAAAAUAAGUGAAGAAGAUGUGGCAAGGUGUGGCCGCGCCGUCGGGGCCGAGGAAUCUCUGGCACCGCGGGAGCAGCAGCCCACACCAGGUGUUCUGAUCUGCAAAAGACCACAGUUUAACCCCCCUGAAUCGUGUAACACCACUGAAUACUACAGUAGAAACCCACAGGUACCACGUAAGCGUGCCCCUCCUCACUUCCCCCAUGGUCCAAAAGUGAAACUUUAACUAACGCUGUCCCAGCCAAACAGUGCUCAUUGCUUUUCUCUCUUACUGCACUAAAUCAGUC